AUUGAACGCUGGCGGCAGGCCUAACACAUGCAAGUCGAACGAGUGGCGGACGUGUGAGUAAUGGCUGGGAAACUGCCUGAUGGAGGGGGAUAACUAAUGGAAACGGUAGCUAAUCCCGCAUACCAUAAGAUGGGACCAUAUGGGAUUAGCGAGUUGGUGGGGUAAAGGCUCACCAAGGCGACGAUCCCUAGCUGGUCUGAGAGGAUGACCAGCCCCCCUGUAACUGAGCCACGGUCCAGACUCCUACGGGAGGCAGCAGUGGUGAAUAUUGCACAAUGGGCGCAAGCCUGAUGCAGCCAUGCCGCGUGUAUGAAGAAGGCCUUCGGGUUUUAAAGUACUUUCAGCGGGGAGUCGUGACCCGCAGAAGAAGCACCGGCUAACUCCGUGCCAGCAGCCGCGGUAAUUC
rnacentral:rRNA from 1 species